AUGGACGGCUACGGGGUCCCUGCUUCGGGACCUAGCACGCUCCGACAGAUUGAUGACGUUCCAUCUGAAUCAGAAGACGAAGAGGGGAUUGGUUUUCCUGCAGGAGGCGCGGUCGCCGAGUCUGAUUCGGACAAGGAAGAUCAGAUCCAGGUCAAUGGAAAAGCACCCUCAAUCGGGUCAAGGUGCAGCGUGAAGAAGUUGCACGACCUGAUUUCCUCAUUUGAUGAGGAGAAACGACAGUAUGUAGCCGAGAUGGAGUUUGGGGGGCUGCUAGAGCUACCAAAGAUAACAAGGACGGAUAGGCAUUUCUUGAUGUCUAUCCUAAGCCACAUCGAUGGGGAGGCAAGUUCAAUUACAAUUGAUCACAAACGCGACAUGCAAUUUUUCGAUGAAGAUGUCAAACUGGUCAUCGGCAUACCAUGUGGAACUGCUCCUGUUCGCCCUCCAGACCACGCUGUUCCGGAGGCAGUGGUGACACAGAUAAGAGAGAUGUUUGGAAUUGGUCCAGGAGAGCACAGCAUACUGCCAAUCGUUGAAGCUGUGAAGCAGACAUACGGGCGUCCUAUGACGACACACGAGAAGAACAGGUUCAAAGUGGGGCUGGUCAUAUGCGCAUGCACAUACCUCCUCGCUCCAACAAUGAAGAACGACUACUUCUGUACUGAUUAUUGGGGCGCGCUGGCAACGGCAGAGCUCAUACAUAUGCACAACUGGUGCCGAUAUACAAGGGAAGAGCUGUUAGUUGCGGCGAAGAGGGUGAAGGCAGACCUUCUAGGAGGGCGUCUGAAGUCUAAUCUAUCAGGUUGCCUCCCAUUUGUACUGGUGUUCUAUAUUGACAAUCUUGACGUUGGAGAGCAGAACAUCGACCACACCGCGCGCCCAAGAGUGAAGGCGUACAGCUACGCAGCUAUCAGAUCAAUAAUUGAAAAGGACAUCAAGUCGCGCAAGGGAGAUUACCCAGUCAUCUAUGGCAGACUCCUGCCAAGACCAGCAGCAGAUGUCUGUUAUCACAGAAACCCUAUAACAAGGCAACGGGCAGCAAGCACAUCAGCCGGUCGUGACUCUCGAAGCUCUGUUCCAUCAAAUCGUGGUUCGUUAGACAUUAAGGAGGCUUCUUACCUCGUCUUAGACAAAAUAUCAAAGUUCACAGCCCGUUGUGAGGAGGUUCUAAUUUCCACUGCAAGGAAGAAAGAAGAGGAGAACCACCGUCAUUUCAGUGCACUAAAUACCUUGGAAAACUCUGCCCAACAAAAAAUAAAGAAGGAGGCCAAAAGAAUGAGGGAUGAAUUCUUUUCGUUCUUCAAAAACUUCGAGAGGCAACAUGCUGCGAUAAGGAUGCGAAGGGGUGCAUCAGGUGUCGAUGUUGAUUCUGGUAAUUGCCGCAACGCAUCCCCAAUACCAGAUCUCGCUGUGUCAACGCCUUGCAAUGCCAAACCAACACCUCCAGCGAGCGGCGGGUGUCAGGGCAACACAAACUCAUCACCGGACGUUGUCGAGGUGACUCCUAGGCGGUUCAAAAGGAUAGCAAAGAAACCGAAGAAGGUAACAUUUGAGUGCGGGCCAUCAGGCGUCAUGGACAUCACAGACAGCGAAGAUAAUGUGAAUGAUUGUUUAUCACACCCUACAGCAAUACGUUCAACUUCUGCCCUGGAAGAUGGCAACCCGGAAGACAGCUCGCCUGUCGUCAACAUCGCACUAGACAGCUUGAUAAGAGAAGCAGAGAGGUACAGCAGGUCAGGCAAGCAGAUUGUUGACGGUUCCACUGCAACCAGGGAUUCCAUCCUGGAACUUGCAAGUAGAGGUCAAUCAUCUGGCGCAAAAGAUGUCAAGGAUGGUGCAGCAACAUACUCUGUUUGUUGUGCUCAAGACCCCAACUUCGACAACAGGCGUCAAUGGAACUACCCGUCUGGACACCCACUUAUCGAGGAGACGCCGUCAUUUGACCUGGGCGUCUUCACACCUCCUUGCAAUAAAGCAAAAGAACCUACCUCGUUGAGCAUUGGUUCCAUAAAGGGCAUCACGCGGAAAGACCUGUUCGGCGCUGGUGAAUUCUCCACUAAAACUCCUGGGUCUGCAGACCAGGUGACACCAUCAACCCCCUUUCACAUAGGGAGCGCAACUAUACAUCCCACACAAGAACACCGUGUGGUGGCACACGUGUCACCGGUUAGUUGCACUAGGUCUGUAGCCACUGGCCUUUUGGACUUCAGAGAGGAAGUAGAGGCAGACUGUGUAAACCUGAACAAACCGGUUGAGGAAAUAUCACUACCCGCACCACCACCCAAAAGGAGAGUUGCCCCUGGGCCUGCCGGCCAAUCGCCGUUUGUCAUGCAAUAUCGUUUGUCCGAGAGGGCUUCAGGAGAUGCAACACAUUUGUAUCUAACAUUCUCCCAGAUGGACGGAGCAGUGCUAAGCAACAACUGGGUUGUUAGUCCAUUUCCAAGCUACAUAGAGCUGACGGGCAUCGUACUCAAAAGACAGUUGAGCGUGGGAGGUUUCAUAGAGAUAGACUUGAUGAAUGUUUUUAUGCGGAGGUUCCAGCAGCUAGAGAAUGCUUGGGCCAGAAAAUAUGGCGACUCACCAUGGAGGCAUUACUUGGAACCAGACUUCAUGAGCCACGUAUUGCGAGGCGGAGGAUUCAUCCAUAAUGACUAUGUAAGGAACAUUUUUGUUGGGCAUCACAUCUCGCAUGAUGUCAACAGAUGCCCUAUGAUGGUCUUGCCAGUGCAUCAUGCGCACGCUUGGUCAACAUAUAUAUUCGACUUCCCGAGGAGGAGGACAACCAUUUUAGAUCCUAUGAUCAACAACGGGGACAGACCAGCAGAUGAAUUGCGCAACGAACACAUAAAAAUAGCAGAUGAGCUACGCGGGGCGCUAAUGGAAUGCAUAGCUGAAUACUUCGAUGGUUGGACACCCAAGACCAAAGGAUGGCAGAACUGGUUCCCAAAACUCACAACUGGACCUUGGAUCUGCAGCAGGGGCUUCUAG
rnacentral:rRNA from 1 species